rnacentral:rRNA from 1 species
GGCGAGGAGGAGGAGCAGCAGGCACAAGGCGGAGCGCGGAUGGCGCUGCCGGCCGGCAUGGUGCUGGUGCAGCUGCUGACGGUGGGCACCAUGCUGCUGUCGGAGGUGGCUCUGAACCGCGGGAUGCACCCCCUGGUCCUGCUCGUCUACCGCAACCUCGUCGCCGCCGUCGCCGUCGCCCCCCUCGCCGCCGUCUUCGAGAGGGAGAUGUGGAAGAAGGUGAACCUCACCAUGCUGGGCUGGAUCUCCAUCAACGCUAUGUUCGGAGUUUUGCUGGCGAUGGGGCUGUACUACGGGGGCCUGCGGGACACCAGCGCCGCCUACGCCGUCAACUUCCCCAACCUCAUCCCCGUGGCCACCUUCCUCAUCGCCGUCGUGCUGCGGGCCGAGCGCCUCUCCCUCUCCCACUGGCCCGGCAGGAUGAAGCUCCUGGGCGCGGCGGUGGGCGUCGCCGGCACCAUGGUGGUCAGCUUCUGCAAGGGCACUCACCUCCCGCUGCCGUACCUCCAUUUCCACGACCACGCCCACGCCGGCGCGCCGACGGCCGCGCCACACCCACAUGGCGCCCGCGACAUGGCCGCUGGCACGCUGUGCCUGUGCGGGAGCUGCAUCAGCUACGCGCUCUGGUUCGUCGUGCAGACCAGGGUCGCCAAGGUGUUCCCGUCCCGGUACUGGGCCACCGCGCUCACCUGCGCCGCGGGCAGCCUGCAGUCCGCCGCGGCGGCUGCCGUGGCACAUGGCUGGGCGGCGGAGUGGAGGCUGGGGUGGGACCUGCGCCUGGUCACGGUGGUGUACUCCGGGGUGUUCAACACGGGCGCCACGUUCGUGCUCGUGUCGUGGGCGGUGGCGCGCCGCGGGCCGGUGUACCCGCCCAUGUUCAACUCGCUGUCGCUGGUGGUCACCGCCGCAGUCGACGCCGUGUUUCUCGGCACCGACCUCUACCUCGGCGGUUUUCUCGGGGCGGCGCUCGUCGUCGCAGGCCUCUACGCAUUCCUAUGGGGCAAGCGCAAGGAGCUCGCCGCUGCCGCCAAAGGGGACGACCGCGAGCAGGGGCUGCGGCGAGGAGACACCGACGAUGGCAUCGCCUAG